UGCUGUUUUUGCUAUUUCUUCAUCGGUGAUACAGGCCUUUAUCAUGUCCUUUAGCUCUAUACCUGGUGGUGAUGGCAAAUUAAUCAUUUAAUCUAGCCAUACAUGUUAUAUACUGGGUAACAAUGUGAUGUAACAGUACUAAUAGGCAGUACAGUUAUAUAAUAACUAAAGUAUGAAGAAUUACAGUAAGCACACCGCACAGUCAAUCCUUCACACAUGGUGUAUGUGUACAUGUUCCUUAGGCUGAGAUGUUUUGUCCAUUAAGUCCUGUCAGCAGUGCACAAUAUAGUAUGACAUUUAAGGUAGCAAGUUUGAAGUCAUUGAUAUUCAGUUUAAAACUGACAUAAUACCAAUUUAUUAUAGCUUGAUUUUGUAAUCAGAUUAAAGAUUUAAAGAUAUGGAUGGAAGAAAUUAAAGCAAUGGCACACAAAUACCUUGGUAGUGCAAAGGGCUCCAUACAAGACUGGUAGGUGAUGUCAAGCUGGUACACAAACUUGUAUACAUGCCGAUAACACCUUUCAAUUUCCUUAACCUGCUUUGUCAGAGCUACAUCCUCUUCCUUGAGCGUCGCCUUUGUCUUGAAACCCGCUGAAAAAAGUUUAUCAAUGUAGGUAUGUUUUAACUUGAAUAAAUCAUGCUUUUGACCUAUGUUCGACUACUAAAAAGUACUUGUGAAAUAAUUUAAACUUAACAGUCAUUUUAAAGUAAAUUUGAUAUGUGGAAAGAAAAAUGUUACGCUCAAAAGAUAUAUCACUAUAUUUAUAGUUUACUAGCACUUAUGUCAAUGUUUAGCGAACCCAUGAGAUUUUGAUGAUCCUAAGUCAAUAAAUUGGAAAUAAACUGAUAAUCCCUUUACACUUCUGAAAAAAGCAUGUUCAAUAAAAGUUUUUAAAUGGGUACCAAUAUGCAUUCGUUUUUUCGUAUCUUUUUUGUAUUUCUCCAUUAUCAGUUUUGUUUGAUUGUCAAAUCUGCCAUGUCUUGGAACUUCAACUGUACUGUAAAUAGAUUGAUAUCUGAAGCAACUGCAAGUUUUAGUCUCAUUAUAAUUACACAUCAAUACACACUAAAUAUAUAAUUAUCAGACUGUAUAUUGUCUGUAAUAACACACACGCAGGCACGUACGCACGCACACACACGUGUGUAAGGACGACACACUCAAACUUAAAAAUAGUCAUGAAUGUACAGGAUGCCUGUGCCCAUGGAGGCCCUGAGGAACAAUAAGCCUUUAAAAAAACAAGAGGGCUAAGAUGGCCUUAUAUCGCUAACCUGGGUAAAACUUAAAUGAUGCUCAAGACAUUCCUCAUAAAGGUCGAUAACUCUUGAGUAACUACAAUUUGGCUAGUUGUCGAACUUGUUCAAAGUAUUGGGCAUAUUUUUUUUAAAUGUUAAAAUUUGAACAUGUUAUAUUUAAAAGUAUCUACAAUAGUGAUAUACCCUGAUAAGAGGUCUGUUUAGUACAGAAUCCCAGUUCUCAAAAAAAAUGAAAAAGUUAUGUCUACCUACAUAUUUUUUUUGGAGAUGUUAGUGGAAUUAACAAAAACCCUUUUUUGGCCUUAUUCCCAAACAAUUUCGGACAAAAUUUGGUGAUGAUUGGACACUUUUCUUAGUGCUAUUAUUCUCGAAUGACUUAGGCCAAGAGGCCGCUUAAUGAACCUGUCAGAGAUAUUUUGCCCAUACAAAUUAUAACCAAAUUUGGUGAUACAUGUAAUUUGACAAAGACUUUUAAAGUUUUUGAGCUGACAGGACUAAUUUUAGGUAAUUUCUAUAAUUAAAGGAUGAUAACUCUUGAGUGAUGCGAUAUGGCCUAUAGUUAAACUUGUCCAAGAUAUUCUGCCCAUAUACAAUCUGACCAAAUUCGGUGAUGAUUGGACAAAGGCUUUUAAAGUAAUAAAUCGGACAAGACCAAUUUUUAGGUUAUUUCUGUUAUUAAAAGGCAAUAACUAUUGAGUGACAAUAGCAAUAUGACUGGUUAUCAAACUUGUCCAACAUAUUGUGCCAUAUACAUUCUGACCAAAAUUGGUGAUGAUUGGACAAAGGCUUCUUAAGUAAUUGAUUCUUCUCAUCGUUAGUAAUACUCUAUCAGUUUUUCUUACACUCUUGUUUUACGCUUUGGUGUUGUAGGCAUACUUUCUUUUACUUUUGAUAUUGCUCUAUAUUUUGUACUUCUUGCUUCUUGAAUUAAAUGGAGGCUCACACAUCUCAUUACUUAUAUUUCAGCUGAAUUUGUGGCUGUUCUGGAUCUGUUAAUAUCAUCGUUGUCUAUUGUACCAUCUGUUUUUGUUUGAUCAAUGUUUGUAGUAUCUUGGUCUGUUGAAAGUCUAUUUUGCACACUGUAUUUUUUUAAGUUUUAUCCCCAUCGUCCAAUUCUGUACUUUAAGCAUCUUUAAGCACAUUCUUCUUCUUUUUCAGGCUUUCAUUUUCUUUCAUUUCUCUAUUCUUAUUGUUACACGGUGUCUGUCUAGGAGUCUGGUUUUCUCCAUUAGUUUUGUUUGUGAUAUUGUCUGCACCUUCUUUCUUUUUGGCAAGCUAUUUCAUUUUCUUUUCUCUCCAUAUCUAUUAUUGUUUUUUGGUUUCUCUUGGAUCACUUUCUUUUCUCCCUUUGUCAAUUUGCCUAUCAUGUGUUUUUCCUUUCAGCAUCUUUCCUCUUCAUUUCAUCAUAUUUUUCAUUUCUUUCAUUUUUCAGUUUUCCCCUGUAUCUUUUCAUUCUACAUGUAAGUGCUUUUGCACUUACAUUAAUGUCAGUUUCAGGUAUAUUUGAAUGGUUUUUAUUUCUCUGCUUGUCCAUUUUUGAAUUAAUGUUAAUUCUAGUCACACCUGAAUUUAUAAAUGGACAUUUCGUACAUAGCGUGAUUUAAAUGCCCCAUCCGUAGACAUUUACUAGCUUUACUGUACUUCAUUUUCUUAACCAUAAAUAAAUUUCUAAUAGGCCUCUUUAUGUCUGGCUAAAACAGCAUAAUCCAUCCUGUAUUUUGGCUACUUAUUUUAAUUCCCAAACAUACACACUAUAGAAAAAAAUAAGUUAAGGCAUGAAUUUCAAUGUUUUUAGCAACAUAUAGAAGUGGAAAAAUGAAAAUACAAAGGUAAUGAGUUGUUUUUGGUAAUCCAUUGCCUAGGUUUUAAUAUGUGCUACAUUUCUGUCAAAGGAAAGUGGUUCUUUUCGCUUAAUAUAUAUGCAAAUUUUGAGCAUUUUAUGUGUGUCUACGGAUGGGACAUGGUGUCUACGGAUGGGACAUUGACAUGUUGAGCUUCAUAUUUACAAAUUACAAUCAGAUAUUAAUGCAACAAAUAAUAUAUUUGGUCACUGAAUGGAAAUGCAAAAUCUGCCUGGUUGGUUAUAUGCUAAGGAUAUUCCUUGCUGGGUAAAACAUGCGUCUACGGAUGGGACAAAAUUUUCUGUAUUUUUGGGUGCAUACUCAGGCGUAUAAUAAAUUUGGUAAUGUAGGUAUUAUGUAUAAAUUUCUUAUUGCUAUUGAUAAAUGAGUUGUAGUUCUUCCAAUUGAGGGUCAUAUUUUCACAAAAUACCAUAUUGCUUAGAAAUUUUGGCCAUUUUGUAUACCUGAAUUGAAAAAGCCAGAUUUUGGUAACGAAAUGGUGGGUUCAGUUAUUUUAGUAGUUCUCCGUCAGUUUUUAUGCAAUUUAAAUGAAAUAACCAGCUACAGAAAGAAGACUAAAUUGCUUACUCAAUGCUCUAGAUAUCUGAUACAAUUAUUUUUCAGUAUUUUUUAUUUUUUAUGUUAAAAAAGGGGUAAUUUUGAAAUGAAACGUUGUAACGACAGUUUUUAGCCACAUUUUGGCUAUUUGGAGGUUGAAAUUAGAAAACGCGUCAAAUCAAGCGAUGGAAGUCCGUAUAAGUUGAGUCGACAGAUAUAUUCUACCUAUCAUGAGACAUAAAAAAGACAAUUUUAACAUAACAUGUUAAGAAAAUUACAACGUAACAACAGCAAAAAGGAAAUUGUCAUUAUAUCGUGACCAAGGCGUAUGGUAAUUUGUACGUUGUAUGUGCGUCCGUGCAUCUGUAAACAAUUCAUGUUAACACGAUACAGCCUUCAGUUUUGAUUGUAUCUUGAUGAAACCUGUACAGUAUCUACAUAUAUCCAUUAGAGCUCGGUUCCUUUCGAAAACCAGCUAGAUCCGACCAUGCAUGCCUAGAUUAUGGGACUUGAUAGUAUAAAAAUCCUGUAAACAAAUGCUCGUUAACACGAUACAGCCUUCAGUUUUGAUUGUAUCUCGAUGAAACUUGUACAGUAUCUACAUAUCCAUUAGAGCUUGGUUCCUUUCGAAAACCAGCCAGAUCUGCCCAUGCAUGCCUAGAUUAUGGGCCUUGAUAGUAUAAAAAAAUCAGUUUGUCAGUAAACAAUUGCUCGUUAACACGAUACAGCCUUCAGUAUUGAUUGUAUAUUGAUGAAACUUGUACAGUAUGUGGAUAUCCAUUAGAGCUGGGUUGCUUUCGAAAACCAGCUAGAUCUGCCCAUGCAUGCCUAGAUUAUGGGCCUUGAAAUGCUUAGAUUAUGGGCAUUGAUAGUAUAAAAAAAAUGCUAAAAAAUGUGUAAUAAAUGCUUGCGAACAUGAUACUGUCUUCAGUUUUGAGUAUUGAGAUACCCAUAAGGGGUUGGUUCUUUUCGAAAACAGUGAUGUUGACCACACAAACUCAGCCAGUGGAGCAUAGGCCUCAUAUUUAUAUAAAACUCUAAGCUCAAAAGAAGUGCAAAAACUUUAUUUUGCUUAGAAAAAAUCUUAAAAGAACAGGCAGGCCAUUUUUGUGGGACUGUUCGAUAGACACCAUUGAAAGCUACAAGGGAAACUUUACUUGGUCAAAUUAUUCCAAUGCAUAAGGAAAUAAUGGCUCUUCAAAGGUUUGCAGCUUACCAUUUGAGGGAAAUGGUUGUUUCUGCUUUUUAUGAAAAUACCACAGGUGCUAAUAUUUGUCUCAUUCAUUUAUUGUUUAAUAUAUCAUUUCCAAACUUUCAGUAUGUGUUGCAUAUAGCCUGAAGAUGAACUAUAGGAGUUUUGAAGUCUGUUUCUGAAAAAAUGCUGCCCUAAUAGGCUCAAGACCACAGUUAUCAGUCAUAUAUGUAUUGUUAGGGUUUGGUAUAUUUUCCAUCAACAUUAAAUGUUGACAUGUUGCAUGUAAUUCAGAUACCAACAGGUCAGGUUUUAUUUACUAUUCAUUUUCAUACAAUGCUUUACAUUGCAUUUCUUUUUCCAUCAUACUUUAAAUGCAUGCAUUUUUCAGAAAUGAAUCAGUUCCCACCAUUUCACCUUCAAAUGACGUCUCUUGUUCAUCUAGACCUGUUUGUGUGUGCAUAUAAAAUGAAUAACUACUUAGAAAUUUCAGCACACAUAAAAUAAAAAUAGAAGUUUCUAUUAAGUUCCAAAAAAUUGUGUUGUAGUCACUUCCUAAUUCUAUAAUGCAAUGAAUAUUAAUGACUAUGUAUGUGGUACAUGUACUUUCAGAAAACUGAAGCCUUUAGGAAGUCAACGCCACCAUGAUAUUGAUUUACUCAGCUCUGAUGUACUCAGCUGUGAUGUAACAUGCCUUCAAGCCACUAUUCGAAGAACAUUCAGACGUUCUAAAUGGACCAUUGCCCUGUUGCCAUGGAAAUCAUUAUGAGGAGGAGCACACAAACUGUCACUUGUUUUGAAUACGAGAUGUACCACAAACUUACCAUAAACUUUUCGGAUGCUCUGUUUAUUUUAUCAGCCAAUUUCGAUGUAUAUUUUACUGAAUAACGACAAACAAUCUUUAUUAACAAUGCUCAGCUCUUACUCAUAAGCAUCUCUUACUCAUCCGUAUUCCACAACAAAACAUGCUUGCAAUUACACUGUACCAUCUAUCAUAAUACAGCAAUGCUGCAAUUACCACAUUUUUUGUACCAGUUGUUGCUUUAUACUGAAACUUUUAUUGAAAAUGGUGCAUAAACACUGAUAACACAUAAAUGUUUCAUUCAUACAUUUGUACAUGUUCUUUCAGUGUAUAUGUUGAUAAUGUUGAUACAUUUUUCAUGUGCAUUUACACAUGUGUUUAUUGCCAACCUCAUCAAAACAUGCAUAGUUUGCUCACAUACAUACUUCCAACACAGACAUUUACUGAAUGUAUUACUACUUUACGUUGAUUUUGACAUGUAAAUAAAACAUUGUACUACUCUUUUGUACAAAACACUUUUCAUUUGCUAUGUUGUUUGUUUCCAUGUUCUGUCUGCAUGCAGAUGGUAUUUUCAUAUCAAUUUUAGCUAAACUAUUCGUAGAAUAUGGAGAGCUAUACUACUCACCCAAGCGUCGGCGUCAGCCUCACACCUUGGUAAAGGUUUUGCUUGCAAGCACACAUAGGUAAAUAUCUCAUUAAGUACUUGAGGUAUUGCAUUGAGACUUGAUACAAUGGUACUCAACAAUCCAACCUACUGAAUCAACAAAGUUAGAUAACUCUAGUUUGCAUUUAAUCCAAAUAAUAGGACUUUAUUAUUCGACUUAGAAAUUCUGGUUAAGGUUUUGCGUGCAAGCACACAUAGGUUAAUAUCUCAGCAGCUACUUGAGGUAUUGCAUUGAGACUUGAUACAAUGGUACUCAACCAUCCAACCUAUAAAUUAACCAAGUAAGGUAACUUGACUUUGCAUUUAAUGCAAAUGAUAGGCCUUUAUUAUUCGACUUAGAUAUUCUGAUUGAGGUUUUGUGAGCAAGCACACAUUAUAUAAAUAUCAAAGCAACUACUUGAUGUAUUGCAUUGAGACUCAUACAAUUGUACUCAACCAUCAAACUUCCCCAUGUAAGAUAGCCCUAGUUUCAUUCAAUGCAAAUAGUUGCCCUUUAUUAUUCGACAUAGAAAUUCUAGUUAAGGUUUUGCAUGUAAGCACACAUAGGUAAAUUUCUCAGCAACUGCACGAUGUAUUGCAUUGAGACUUUAUAGAAUGGUAAUCAACCACUCAAUGUCAUUGAAUAACCAAGAUAUAUAACUGUAUUUUGCAAAUAAUUGCUCUUUAUUAUUAGACUUAAACAUUCUGGUUGAAAAAUUCCUAUAACCACAUUUAUGUUAAUAUCUCACCACAUGAAUUGCAUUGAAAUCUUAUCUAACAGCGAUCCAUGCAUGUUUCGCCAAAACUUUUCAAUCCUUACACUGAACAGCGGCGGAAUAGUCGAGCCCGCUGUCUCUGUGACAGCUCUUGUUCAAAAUUAACGUGAUGUUUAUUUCCAUUGUGAAACUUAUCCCUUGGGAACAAUAUUUACAUCUUUUAGCAUACAUGCCUGGAUGAGUUUUAAAAAAUGACCAUAUAAUGCAUACUUACUGCAUGAAAAUAUACAAUGACAUACAUUUCGUAUCAACUUGUGUAUCUGUAUUUCCCUUUCAACUACUUCGAAAUAACAAACGUCCCAACCCUAAAAUGUUCAAACAUAUUCUACAUACAUUAUUUUUAUCUUACACUAUAUAUAUAUAUGUUCUAUAUGUAUAUAUCACGCCUAAUAAAAUUGAAGCCUGUCAACUCGUACGUUGUUGUGAAACAUAUGAACCCCACCUCUCAACUUCCCUGUGUGUUCCUAUCAAUUCGUUUCUGAAAUUCCUGUCAUUUGAAAAAAAAGCUAACCCUCUAGGGGCCACCGUUCCUCAGCGCUUUCAGCGCUUUGAUUUUCCAUGUCUUUGAACAUCUCGUCUUAGAAAAAAAUAAUUGUGGGAAGUCUUAGUUCUGUUAAGCACUUGUUCACAAGUACAUGAAUCUUUUACACACAUAACCUGAAUAUAAGUACUCAGGUAUAUUAAUAUAAUUGUUGAAUAAAUUUUAUUAUACAUAAUAGAAACAGAUCCCCAAAAUGUUGAAGGAACCCUAUAGAGUUAAGUUAAACGUUUUCAUGAUAUUCUUAUAAGAGCUAAUAGUUUAGUAGAAGAAAUUAUCAACUACAGAUGACAUUAAGGUCAAUGAUCAAUAGAAAUUGGCAGCCUUUAAUUUAAACUGAUAUCUACUGAAGUAUAUAAUGUACCGUACAUACAUUUAUUGCAUUUUGCUGAAAAUCAACCUUGCAUCAGGACAAUUACUGGAGAAGCUGUGUGUAAACCUUACCAUCUCUGGCAGAGGCUUCAUAGAGCCUUUGAGCAGCCGUGUGCAGUCUCACCGCCCUGCCAGUCUCCUGUGGGCUGUUGGUGGCUCUGCCAGUCUCCUGUGGACUGUUGGUGGCACGAAAACUGAAGCCUUUAGGAAGUCAACGCCACCAUGAUAUUGAUUUACUCAGCUCUGAUGUACUCAGCUGUGAUGUAACAUGCCUUCAAGCCACUAUUCGAAGAACAUUCAGACGUUCUAAAUGGACCAUUGCCCUGUUGCCAUGGAAAUCAUUAUGAGGAGGAGCACACAAACUGUCACUUGUUUUGAAUACGAGAUGUACCACAAACUUACCAUAAACUUUUCGGAUGCUCUGUUUAUUUUAUCAGCCAAUUUCGAUGUAUAUUUUACUGAAUAACGACAAACAAUCUUUAUUAACAAUGCUCAGCUCUUACUCAUAAGCAUCUCUUACUCAUCCGUAUUCCACAACAAAACAUGCUUGCAAUUACACUGUACCAUCUAUCAUAAUACAGCAAUGCUGCAAUUACCACAUUUUUUGUACCAGUUGUUGCUUUAUACUGAAACUUUUAUUGAAAAUGGUGCAUAAACACUGAUAACACAUAAAUGUUUCAUUCAUACAUUUGUACAUGUUCUUUCAGUGUAUAUGUUGAUAAUGUUGAUACAUUUUUCAUGUGCAUUUACACAUGUGUUUAUUGCCAACCUCAUCAAAACAUGCAUAGUUUGCUCACAUACAUACUUCCAACACAGACAUUUACUGAAUGUAUUACUACUUUACGUUGAUUUUGACAUGUAAAUAAAACAUUGUACUACUCUUUUGUACAAAACACUUUUCAUUUGCUAUGUUGUUUGUUUCCAUGUUCUGUCUGCAUGCAGAUGGUAUUUUCAUAUCAAUUUUAGCUAAACUAUUCGUAGAAUAUGGAGAGCUAUACUACUCACCCAAGCGUCGGCGUCAGCCUCACACCUUGGUAAAGGUUUUGCUUGCAAGCACACAUAGGUAAAUAUCUCAUUAAGUACUUGAGGUAUUGCAUUGAGACUUGAUACAAUGGUACUCAACAAUCCAACCUACUGAAUCAACAAAGUUAGAUAACUCUAGUUUGCAUUUAAUCCAAAUAAUAGGACUUUAUUAUUCGACUUAGAAAUUCUGGUUAAGGUUUUGCGUGCAAGCACACAUAGGUUAAUAUCUCAGCAGCUACUUGAGGUAUUGCAUUGAGACUUGAUACAAUGGUACUCAACCAUCCAACCUAUAAAUUAACCAAGUAAGGUAACUUGACUUUGCAUUUAAUGCAAAUGAUAGGCCUUUAUUAUUCGACUUAGAUAUUCUGAUUGAGGUUUUGUGAGCAAGCACACAUUAUAUAAAUAUCAAAGCAACUACUUGAUGUAUUGCAUUGAGACUCAUACAAUUGUACUCAACCAUCAAACUUCCCCAUGUAAGAUAGCCCUAGUUUCAUUCAAUGCAAAUAGUUGCCCUUUAUUAUUCGACAUAGAAAUUCUAGUUAAGGUUUUGCAUGUAAGCACACAUAGGUAAAUUUCUCAGCAACUGCACGAUGUAUUGCAUUGAGACUUUAUAGAAUGGUAAUCAACCACUCAAUGUCAUUGAAUAACCAAGAUAUAUAACUGUAUUUUGCAAAUAAUUGCUCUUUAUUAUUAGACUUAAACAUUCUGGUUGAAAAAUUCCUAUAACCACAUUUAUGUUAAUAUCUCACCACAUGAAUUGCAUUGAAAUCUUAUCUAACAGCGAUCCAUGCAUGUUUCGCCAAAACUUUUCAAUCCUUACACUGAACAGCGGCGGAAUAGUCGAGCCCGCUGUCUCUGUGACAGCUCUUGUUCAAAAUUAACGUGAUGUUUAUUUCCAUUGUGAAACUUAUCCCUUGGGAACAAUAUUUACAUCUUUUAGCAUACAUGCCUGGAUGAGUUUUAAAAAAUGACCAUAUAAUGCAUACUUACUGCAUGAAAAUAUACAAUGACAUACAUUUCGUAUCAACUUGUGUAUCUGUAUUUCCCUUUCAACUACUUCGAAAUAACAAACGUCCCAACCCUAAAAUGUUCAAACAUAUUCUACAUACAUUAUUUUUAUCUUACACUAUAUAUAUAUAUGUUCUAUAUGUAUAUAUCACGCCUAAUAAAAUUGAAGCCUGUCAACUCGUACGUUGUUGUGAAACAUAUGAACCCCACCUCUCAACUUCCCUGUGUGUUCCUAUCAAUUCGUUUCUGAAAUUCCUGUCAUUUGAAAAAAAAGCUAACCCUCUAGGGGCCACCGUUCCUCAGCGCUUUCAGCGCUUUGAUUUUCCAUGUCUUUGAACAUCUCGUCUUAGAAAAAAAUAAUUGUGGGAAGUCUUAGUUCUGUUAAGCACUUGUUCACAAGUACAUGAAUCUUUUACACACAUAACCUGAAUAUAAGUACUCAGGUAUAUUAAUAUAAUUGUUGAAUAAAUUUUAUUAUACAUAAUAGAAACAGAUCCCCAAAAUGUUGAAGGAACCCUAUAGAGUUAAGUUAAACGUUUUCAUGAUAUUCUUAUAAGAGCUAAUAGUUUAGUAGAAGAAAUUAUCAACUACAGAUGACAUUAAGGUCAAUGAUCAAUAGAAAUUGGCAGCCUUUAAUUUAAACUGAUAUCUACUGAAGUAUAUAAUGUACCGUACAUACAUUUAUUGCAUUUUGCUGAAAAUCAACCUUGCAUCAGGACAAUUACUGGAGAAGCUGUGUGUAAACCUUACCAUCUCUGGCAGAGGCUUCAUAGAGCCUUUGAGCAGCCGUGUGCAGUCUCACCGCCCUGCCAGUCUCCUGUGGGCUGUUGGUGGCUCUGCCAGUCUCCUGUGGACUGUUGGUGGCACGGACAGUAUCCAUGCUCCCUGUCCGACACCCUCCCAUGUUGCAGUUAACAUUUCCCUGCCAGUCUUCUUCCCCCAUCAUGCCCAACUGACUGGUCCAAUAUUGUUCAAAACUAUAUGGAAAUGCCUCAUCAUCGUAGUUUGGAGUAUGUGCAGAGCACUCAGGAUAACAAGCAGUUUAUUUGCUUGAUGAGACUGAAUUCCCGGGGAAGGGAGCAGACACUGCUGUGAGCAUGAUGAUCACUACUUCAAGUACCAUGGUUUGGAGAAAAAAAGCCGAAAUUGGCACUUUGGUCUUUGGAAAAGCAGCAAACAGGCCUGGCUUUGUGCAGUGCAGGUUUGUUGCAUCGGAUAUGGUGAAGUUUACCUUGAUGAAAACCAGAGCAGUUGUGUUACCUGAACUCCUUUCCGAAAUCUGCAUCAAGGGGAUGGAUCUUGAAAGGCAGUGGUAUUAACAUGACAAGAUCAGAUAAUACAGCAGAUUUGACAUUUAAAAAGACACUGUGCCCUUGACAGUCUCAACCAAAGCAUUGAACAAACUGUACAACCUGUUUUAGACUUUUUAACUUUUAGAGCUGUUUGUUUGGACUAGUGUUUGUCAUUCAGAAAUAAGUAUUAACAUUAUUUCUCAGUAUGAGAAAACUCCAGGAAUUAGAAACUUACUGAUAUUUACUAUAACUAUGUAAACAAACCUCUUAGGGGUUUUGCCAGGUUAAAGAAAGACAGGGAGCCACAGAAAAGAGACAGGUUUCCAUUGUGUCAAUAGGACACCCUUCAUUUAGCUGUGAAGAAUUUUAACAUUUUGAAUGUUACAGAAAAUGUAAGGAACAUUGUAUAAUGUUUAAUUGAAGUACUAUUAGGUUUCAAGUGCCAAAUAUGUAAAGCCUGUGUGUAUUUAUAAUCAUGUUAAUAUAAAGUUGUUAUCAAAACAAAAUCAAUAUUUGACUGUCUUAAGCUUUUAAUUCUAUGAAGGCAGGAGGUUGCCAAUCUAUUUCUUAGUUCUACCUUUUUCAUAACUGUGGCUAGGGGUUUGCAGGCCUUUAUAACACUUUAAAAAAAACUGAUAAAAUUUCAAUUUAACUUUGUUAACUUUGAUAUGGUAAUCUAAUCUUACUGCAGCUCAUUUCUGCAAUAUUAUGACUGAAACUGUAUGUUAUAACAAUAAGUAUGGUUACCUGUAAGUUACUUAAAUGGAAUUUUUUGACAAGUAUAUAAGACAAAAUUAUUGGAAAAAAUAAGAAAAAAUUGUUUGUUAAAAGGUA